GGAGGGAUGGCCGAGCGGCUGAAGGCGCUUCCCUGCUAAGGAAGUAUAGGGCUUAUCUCUAUCGAGGGUUCGAAUCCCUCUCCCUCCGCCA
rnacentral:tRNA from 1 species